UYUUAUAAAUUAAGACUUGGAUGAAUGGAUUAAUGGGGCGAUUCUUUCUUAAAUUAAUUUUUAAAAAUAUUUUUUUUAGUGAAGAAACUAAGAUGAUAAUGUGGGACGAGAAGACCCUAUUAAGCUUUAUAUAAUUAUUUUGUUGGGGAAACAAAAGAAUAAAACUUCUUUUAUUAAAUUUUUUGAUAAAAAUUGAUUUAUUAUUGGUGAUAAUAGAAUAAGUUACUAUAGGGAUAACAGCAUAAUUUUUUUUAAAARUUCUUAUUAACAAAGAAGAUUAUGACCUCGAUGUUGGAUUAAAAAUAUUGUAUGAUGUAGUUGUUGUAUAAAUUAGUCUGUUCGACUAUUGAAUUUUUA
rnacentral:rRNA from 1 species